CUUUAUAUUCUGAAGUGAAUUUUAUACUUUUCAAAUUAUUACUAGGGGAAACAGGAGGAAAAUUGUCGAAAAAAUUUAAAAGGGAAAAUCAAAAGAGACGUAUACGUGUACAGCAGCAACACAAACCACACCGAGGCGAAAUCUUAGUGAGAGCAAAGUGUUGCUGAGGGGUCGGCCGUGGUUUUGUCAGAACGCUUAUUGGAGGGGGAAUGUGCCCUGAUUGCACCACGGUUUAAAGCACGUUAUUGAAUGCCGAGUGUGAAUUGCCACAACUUUUUGCUGCAUUAGUUGUUGAUUCAAGGUAUGAUUGAACCAAAGGUACAACAACACAUAAAAACUUCUUUAUAUGUACAGUGCAGAACUAUUUUUCACCGUUUUGGUAAUUCGUUCAAUUGAAAAAAGCUUACAAACGUAAUAAAAUUCCUAUAGAUUGUUAUUGCCGGAUUAUGAAAUAAAAUCGUUCUUAUAGCCUGAUUGGUGAUACAUACUUGUACAUAGGCAUAUGGUAUAUGGGCAAGAUAAAGGCAUAAAAUUUUUAAAAUAUUUAUUGUAUAGCGAUCGAAAAACUUUCUAAGGCUAUUAUUUUAGAAAACAUAAAAGUUCAAAUUACAAUUAGGAGUAGUUGGAAGAGAAAUAAGGUCUUUCUUCCUCUUAAAUUGUAUCCUAAAAAUUGUGUACAAAAGGUACGAUGAUUUGGAAAUAUUGACGACGAUAUUUCAGAAAGACGCACAAAAUUUUAAGCAUUUCCUUACGUGGUACGAAUUUUAUUGAUAAGAUUUUAUAUCGGAUUUUCCAAUAGAGUGUUUACAAUUUAGUCAUGGAAAGAUAUCCGCACGAACAACGUUUACAAAUUAUUCAAUUUUAUGAACAAAAUAAUUGUUCUCCGAUUGCAACUUUUCAUGCGCUUUUCUUUGCAUAAUGUUCAAGUGCCAAUAAGACAAAGAACCGCUCGAAGUAAUGAAAAUACUGCUUCCGUUCAAGAAAGAUGUUCUCAAGAAUUGGGUCCGUCUCAAACCACAAACUGGCGGAUUUUGAGAAAGGAUUUGGCCUUGCAUCAGUAUUGUAACAGUAUAAAAUUAUUCUAAAUCAAGAACUGAAACCAUUGGACCACCGUAAACUUCGUGAAUUUACUGGUUUUGUCUUGGAACAAGUUGAAAACGAUAACAAUUUUUUUAAGAAAAUCAUUUACAAAACUGUCGAUUCUGGUGCGAAGAAAAUCUACAAAUUAUUCAUGAACAACCAUUACAUUUACCUAAAUUGACAGUUAGGUUUGGUAUUUGGUUUGGUGGGAUCAUCGACCCGUACAUAUUUCUAAAUGAAGCUCUGGUGACACCGUUACUGUCAAUGGAAAGCUGAUAGCUAAAAUUAUGAGAUUAUGUAGUAUUUAAUGAAGAUGAUGUUAAAUUAAGUAUUCAUCAAGCAUUGUGAAUAUGAAGGAAAUGCCAGAAAAUAUGCUUUCUUAUUAGACUAAUAAUUUCCCCCUUAUAUGCUACAAUUACCAAUUGAUAUCUGUUAUGUAUAUCUGUAUCUGCAGCAAACAAGCUAAAAACUUUAUAAAAAGGAAGUUUGAUAUAUCUCAUGUUUAUAUAAUCCAAAAUAUGUUAACAGUUUAACUUCACCCAUCAUAAAAUUAUUCAUUAUUAAGUCCAGAGUUGUCUAUUGCCUAACAAGUGAUAUAAAUCUAACUUUUAAGAGGUAUCCAUGUACUCAUGAAAUGGAUAUCACUGCAGUUUUCAUAUGCAAAUUGUUUGACAAGAGAGCAAAUUUUAAACAUAACGAGCAGAGAAAUGGCGAAGCGAGGAUGUCAUUGAUGUGAUAAUUAUUCGAGUUAA